CACUAAGAAGCUUAUUGGGUCAAGCAUCAGCCUUUUAAGCUGAAAAUUGGUGGCUCCCAACCACCCUUUGUGG
rnacentral:tRNA from 1 species